UGCUUUCAAAUUGUUACUGCAGGUAUGCUUGCAGAUCAGUUUGACAGUUGUUGCAGCCAGCCAACUGCAUUAGUUUCACUUCAGGUGGCAAGUGAAAAACCUUUUGAAUGUACUCCACUACUCCCUUGCUGUUAGCAAAUUGUGGACUGACGUGGCGAAGCAAGUGAGUGUCAAUCAAUGGACAACUAUGUUCACUCGUUAAAAAUGUGAAAUGUCGUGAGUAUAAUCCUUCCCUUAGUGUGCAAGGUCCUGGAAAUAUUUCGUGUGGUAGGUUAUUACAUUAGGUUUAAGUACUACCUUAUGCAGUGUAAUUUUUGCUGGGAUUUUGGGGAGAGCGGAGAGGAAAUGAAUUUCAUGAUGCCGCUUUCAUAUCUUUUCCUCUUUCUGCAUGCCGAGGUGGUGACGGUCGUCGUCCUUGGUCGCAUCGCCCUUUUUAUUUUCUCUGUAAAGUGUGCCGAGUUCUUGCUUUUGUUUCUCUCUGUUUCUCCUUAGACUGUGUGCAGCGUGUGAUAGACAAUCGGGACUCUCAUCUCGAGGGCAUUAAAGGCGUUAAUUGAAGUAUCACAGAGGUAUAGAACGAAAUUUCUCUUCUGCUAUCUGGGGGCUGUGACGCCAACGCUUCUUAAUAUUUAAAAAGUUGGGGCUGGCCUUGCAGUCGGACGAAAUCACGUCGUCUUGUUUGAUUGGCUCACAGACAGCACGUGGUACGAGCGAGUGCUGGCCAUUCAAGUGCCAACGUCGGGGAAUUACCUCAAGAGGCUAACGGUCGUCCAGGAACGACUAUACUACUUGGUGGCCUAAUGCGAUUUUCUGUUGGAAGUUUUACUUGAAUAAUUGUUUCCCAUCUUGCCAGCGCUUAAAGCAAGGGCGUCAGUUAACCGUUGAGGAUCGAGUACCUUUCGCCGGCCGUUGUCGGGGCCCAAACGCCUUCUAUUGGCUGUUCCAGUGUUCCUUUAAGAGAUAUGAGAGAAAAUGGAAGUUGCCAAAGUCGGCAAAGUGUCCAGUCCUUGUGGCCGCUUCCUGAUAGCAUUCGUGAUUCAACUCUACGAGCCAUUCGCCGAGCGUUUGGGUCUGGAAGUACAAGCUGGCCACUUUUCACUGCUCUCAUGCGACGCGUCAGGCGUCACCAACUUUAAGCCAAAAGUCAUCAAUGCCACAGUCAAGAAACUGAGACCAAGUUGAUAACGCUGGGCAGCAAAUUUAAGACAUUGAAUCUCAUCUGUGCCUAUUCUGAGCAGUUCAACCCCUGACCUUCAGGUAAAAGGGAAAAAAACUGGAAUGUGCAACUAUUCGUUUUCUUGGAGAGCUGAUCGUCGUCAGGUGGCGUUGAAAGUAUGUCCACCAGGUGGCCUUCUUCUUUGGUUCAGAACUGAGAACUGGCAGUGCCAUUUGUUUCCGAGACGUUGAACUUGUAAACGACUGCCAAGAUUUGUGUUCUACGUACAAUACGACUAAAAUUAUUUUCGUAUUCUGCAAAGGCUUUGUUUAAGGUGCAAUCCUGUCCACUGUUCCGAGAACUUCUAGUUGAGCCCUUAGCAUGUGGUCACAUCCAGGUCUGUCAGCCAGGGUAAUUUGAAGAUGUUUUCGUCCAAUGAAGAACAUCUCGACUUGCUGCUUACUAACUGCAUGAAUUGGGAAGUUGCCUUUAUUGCACAUACAACAGCUUGUUUUUUAUUUUGCUUUAUAUCAUAUUUGUUUCAUAGGUUUUUUUACGCUGUUGGUUGAUGUUUGAAGUAAAACUGAAAUUGCCAAUGGUGUUGCAGUCUAAUGUGCUGAUGCUGUUGCCUGCCUGUUACAUGGUUUAAGGAUUAGUUUUAAAAAAUUGAAUUUACGAAGGUUCCCAUUGUUUUUUUGUUACGUGUGUUCUCUAUUUGUUACUAUGUACGUGGUGUGUGUUCAGAAAGCUGUUGGUUUUGAUUUGUUUGUUUGUAUUUGCUUUGGCUUGUUUGUUUUUUUGUUAUUAUUUG